GUCUAUCCUCCUCAUUCACCACAUCUCCUCCGUCUUUCUCCCUGCCUUUUCCCACCGCAACCCCCCCCCCCCACCCCCUAAAAAAACAACAGAAUUAUACAGGCUUUUGAGGCCAAAGGAUAAAAGAUGAUGGGGAAGCUUUUCUCUUUUGAGGGGAAUGUUGUCUGGUGCGAGGCCACCAAUUAGAUCUAUACAGAUUACUCUGCUUCUCUCUCUCUCUCUCUCUCUUACUAGAUCAAUCCCAACAUUGAUCUGACAGCAUUUACAAGAGUUCAUAGAUCUUACUUUAGUGGCGUCGGACCAGGCUUCAUUCCCCCCAAUUGUUGCUUCCGUGCAGUAAAGAUAUUAAUCUUUCUUUGCCAUCUCCGGGAUCAUAUAGCUUAGAUACAGAAGAUCAAGAUAGAUAGAAUGGGUUGCUGGCGAAGGAGAAGAUUGGUGUAAUGAUGGAAAAAUCUGGCCAUGUCUUUCUACUUUCCGUGUGGAAAGAAAAAGAAAAUGCAGAAUGAGGUAAUUGAGUACCACUCCAUUAUAGCUUAAUCAUUACUACUUAUGUGAUCCGUUUGCUAACAAAGUAGUACUAGUAGGUUCCAUUGGAUGUAGUAUGGGAUUUUGUGGUGCGAUUCUUUUUGUCAGUUAACUCUUUCCUAGUGCCAUCAUUUCUUUGAUGAUGGCUUCAAGAAUCUGCCCUGUCCGUUUCUGUGAUCUAUUAGUAUAUCUGAUAUGCAUGCCUUUUCCACUGAUUGACUUUACAAAAUAUCAUCAUUACUCUCAGGACCUCCACUUCUCAUAUACGCAUAUGUCAUUGGACUACUAAUUGACCUUUUCUUCCAUCCUCCUCCUAGGGUUUUGGGACAGCGCUAUGAAUGAAGAUUUUUUUCUCAAGUACUUGGGGAUCAUUCAAAGAGGCUAAAACUACACGCCCUAUUCUUCUCGUUUAGCAGCCCUCAUAAUUAGUUGUCACACUUUCCUCACACCAACUUCUAAAGCACGAUUUGAAAUUUUAUGUUGACAAACCUGAUAUUAGAUCCUUUCCAAGUCUAUCUUAAGCAUCACUUUUACUACCGUAAAACUCACUGGUCAUUCUUUCGUCAUUAUACGCUUUUUAACAGAUGCGUUGCUGCAACUUAUUCACAUGGGUCCAAUUUCAUGUAUAUUUUCCGCUGGUUAAUGAUUUCAGUGAUUAAUGAAUGCCCGAUUUUGAUUUUGCAUCAAGUCCAAGUCAUAUCCUUGCAUGGACAUGUUUUAGAGCUGGUGUAAUAUCUGUACGAAAACCAUUGCUUCAAGGCAAGUGAAAGAAUAUAGUUUUGUAAAGCUUCCUCAUAUACAGAUAGAAUGUGUGUUUGAGAAGUAACCCAAAAGUUGCAGCAGGAAUAAUGGCUGGUCUCAUUGGGCCAGCCAGGUUUCCUUAGAUAUGAAAUGAUAGACGUUUUUUUGUAUUAAUCCAAAAUUCAACAAGUAUUUCACUGAUGCGACGAGAUGGAGUACUGUUCAUUACUUCAGAUUUUGGUGCCUCUACCCUACGCUGUUGUUGUAAAUCAAGACCUGCCUCAUGUCUGUACGAUUGUUCAAACUUCAGAGCUUUCAGUCGCAAGAUCCAACUCAGUUCUCUUCUCUCGGAUGUAAUGUUAUUCUUGAAUACAAGUCCUUUAUUGUGAAAUUUGCAUUGUUAGUCAUGAUCAGAAAUGGCUAUUCUUCUCUUACUCUUUUCUUUUUCUGUUUUUUUUUUAUCAGACAUGACUAAUAAUGCCUUGUAACUUCCCCUGAUUUUACUUGCUCUUUGGUGAUUCAAUAGCUAGGAGAUUAAAGACAAUAGGUUUACAAUAUUUGAACGCUAUACUAUCAUUGUAUUACUAUUGGGCGUUCAGCAAAUCCUGUUCAGUUUCAAGUUUCAAUUAGUUUUGCAAUUUCUUUUCUUGGUCUUUCA